GGGCGGUUAGCUCAGCGGUAGAGCUCUCGCCUUACAAGCGAUAGGUCGGGGGUUCAAAUCCCUCACCGCCCACCA
rnacentral:tRNA from 16 species